rnacentral:rRNA from 1 species
CUGUUUUAUCUUCGGGAAACCGGAGCUAAUACCGGAUAAUUCUUUCCAUCACAUGGGGAAAAGCUGAAAGACGGCAUCUCGCUGUCACUUACAGAUGGGCCCGCGGCGCAUUAGCUAGUUGGUGAGGUAACGGCUCACCAAGGCAACGAUGCGUAGCCGACCUGAGAGGGUGAUCGGCCACACUGGGACUGAGACACGGCCCACACUCUAACGGGAGGCAGCAGUAGGGAAUCUUCCGCAAUGGACGAAAGUCUGACGGAGCAACGCCGCGUGAGUGAUGAAGGUUUUCGGAUCGUAAAGCUCUGUUGUUAGGGAAGAACAAGUACAAGAGUAACUGCUUGUACCUUGACGGUACCUAACCAGAAAGCCACGGCUAACUACGUGCCAGCAGCCGCGGUAAUACGUAGGUGGCAAGCGUUGUCCGGAAUUAUUGGGCGUAAAGCGCGCGCAGGCGGCCCUUUAAGUCUGAUGUGAAAGCCCACGGCUCAACCGUGGAGGGUCAUUGAAAACUGGGGGACUUUGAGUGCAGAAGAGAAGAGUGAAAUUCCACGUGUAGCGGUGAAAUGCGUAGAGAUGUGGAGGAACACCAGUGGCGAGGCGACUCUUUGCUCUGUAACUGACGCUGAGGCGCGAAAGCGUGGGGAGCAAACAGCUUAGAUAUCCUGGUAGUCCACGCCGUAAACGAUGAGUGCUUAGUGUUAGAGGGAUUCCGCCCUUUAGUGCUGCAGCAACGCAUUAAGCACUCCGCCUGGGGAGUUCGGCCCGAAGGCUGAAACUCAAAGGAAUUGACGGGGGGCCGCACAAGCGGUUGAGCAUGUGGUUUAAUUUGAAGCAACGCGAAGAACCCUUCCCAGUUUUGACCUUCUUUGACCCUCCUAAGGAUAGGACGGUUCCCUUCGGGGGACAGAGUGACAGGUGGUGCAUGGUUGUCGUCAGCUCGUGUCGUGAGAUGUUGGGUUAAAUCCCGCAACGAGCGCCACCCUUGAUUUUAGUUGCCCGCCUUAAGUUGGGCCCUUUAAGGUGACUGCCGGUGACCAACCGGAGGAAGGUGGGGAUGGCGUCAAAUCAUCAUGCCCCUUAUGGCCUGGGCUACCCCCCUGCUUCAAUGGAUGGUACAAAGGGCAGCAAAACCCCGAGGUCGAGCAAAUCCCCUAAAACCCUUCUCAGUUCGGAUUGUAGGCUGCAACUUGCCUUCCUGAAGCCGGAAUCGCUUGUUAUCGCGGAUCAACAUGCCGCGGUGAAAAAAUUUAUGGGCCUUGGUCCCCCCGCCCCAAGCGGCGCCAAA